UACGUAGGGGGCGAGCGUUGUCCGGAUUUACUGGGCGUAAAGCGCACGUAGGCGGACAUUUAAGUCAGGGGUGAAAUCCCGGGGCUCAACCCCGGAACUGCCUUUGAUACUGGGUGUCUAGAGUAUGGAAGAGGUGAGUGGAAUUCCUGGUGUAGCGGUGAAAUGCGCAGAUAUCAGGAGGAACACCAAUGGCGAAGGCAGCUCGCCGGAACGGUACUGACGCUGAGGCGCGAAAGCGUGGGGAGCGAACAGG
rnacentral:rRNA from 1 species